GACGAACGCUGGCGGCGUGCUUAACACAUGCAAGUCGAGCGGAAAGGCCCUGCUUUUGUGGGGUGCUCGAGUGGCGAACGGGUGAGUAACACGUGAGUAACCUGCCCUUGACUUUGGGAUAACUUCAGGAAACUGGGGCUAAUACCGGAUAGGAGCUCCUGCUGCAUGGUGUGGGUUGGAAAGUUUCGGCGGUUGGGGAUGGACUCGCGGCUUAUCAGCUUGUUGGUGGGGUAGUGGCUUACCAAGGCUUUGACGGGUAGCCGGCCUGGGAGGGUGACCGGCCACAUUGGGACUGAGAUACGGCCCAGACUCCUACGGGAGGCAGCAGUGGGGAAUAUUGCACAAUGGGCGGAAGCCUGAGGCAGCAACGCCGCGUGCGGGAUGACGGCCUUCGGGUUGUAAACCGAUUUCGCCUGUGACGAAGCGUGAGUGACGGUAAUGGGUAAAGAAGCACCGGCUAACUACGUG
rnacentral:rRNA from 1 species